CUCCCGAGGCCAAUGAUCGAGCCAGCUUGCUGGUGAAGUGACUGAACGAGGUUCCAGGAAAAGCCACUAAGCUUCAGCUACACACGACCGUACCGCAAACCGACACUGGUGCGCGAGAUGAGUAUUCUAAGGCGCUUGAGAGAACUCAGGAGAAGGAACUCGGCAAAUUGACACCGUAACUUCGGAAGAAGGUGUGCCCUAGUAGUGUGAAGUGAACAACGGAGCAUGAAUGGGUUGCAAAAAAUCGGUGGCUGCGACUGUUUAUUAAAAACACAGCACUCUGCAAACACGAAAGUGGACGUAUAGGGUGUGACGCCUGCCCGGUGCUGGAAGAUUAAAUGAUGGGGUGCAAGCUCUUGAUUGAAGUCCCAGUAAACGGCGGCCGUAACAAUAACGGUCCUAAGGUAGCGAAAUUCCUUGUCGGGUAAGUUCCGACCUGCACGAAUGGCGUAACGAUGGCCACACUGUCUCCUCCUGAGACUCAGCGAAGUUGAAAUGUUUGUGAUGAUGCAAUCUCCCCGCGGAAAGACGGAAAGACCCCAUGAACCUUUACUGUAGCUUUGUAUUGGACUUUGAACAGAUCUGUGUAGGAUAGGUGGGAGGCUUUGAAGCAGGGUCGCUAGAUCUUGUGGAGCCAACGUUGAAAUACCACCCUGGUGUGUUUGAGGUUCUAACCUAGGUCCAUUAUCUGGAUCGGGGACAGUGCAUGGUAGGCAGUUUGACUGGGGCGGUCUCCUCCCAAAGCGUAACGGAGGAGUUCGAAGGUACGCUAGUUACGGUCGGACAUCGUGACGAUAGUGCAAUGGCAUAAGCGUGCUUAACUGCGAGACUGACAAGUCGAGCAGAUGCGAAAGCAGGACAUAGUGAUCCGGUGGUUCUGUAUGGAAGGGCCAUCGCUCAACGGAUAAAAGGUACUCUGGGGAUAACAGGCUGAUACCGCCCAAGAGUUCAUAUCGACGGCGGUGUUUGGCACCUCGAUGUCGGCUCAUCUCAUCCUGGGGCUGUAGCCGGUCCCAAGGGUAUGGCUGUUCGCCAUUUAAAGAGGUACGUGAGCUGGGUUUAAAACGUCGUGAGACAGUUUGGUCCCUAUCUUCCGUGGGCGCUGCAGAUUUGAGGAAGCCUGCUCCUAGUACGAGAGGACCGGAGUGGACACACCUCUGGUGUAUCGGUUGUCACGCCAGUGGCAUUGCCGAGUAGCUAAGUGUGGAAGAGAUAACCGCUGAAAGCAUCUAAGCGGGAAACUCGUUUCAAGAUGAGAUCUGCCGGGGCCUUGAGCCCCCUGAAGAGUCGUUCAAGACCAGGACGUUGAUAGGUCAGGUGUGGAAGCGCAGUAAUGCGUUAAGCUAACUGAUACUAAUUGCUCGUGCGGCUUGACCCU
rnacentral:rRNA from 1 species